UACGUAGGUGGCAAGCGUUAUCCGGAAUUAUUGGGCGUAAAGGGCAAGUAGGCGGUGGCCAAAGUUGGGCGUGACAUCUCCCGGCUCAACUGGGAGGGGUCGUUCAAAACUAGGUCACUAGAGGGCAGGAGAGGGAAGCGGAAUUCCUAGUGUAGCGGUGGAAUGCUCAGAUAUUAGGAAGAACACCAGUGGCGAAGGCGGCUUCCUGGCCUGUACCUGACGCUGAGAGGCGAAAGCUAGGGUAGCAAACGGGCUUAGAUACCCCGUACGUCCUCGAGCGGGCGU
rnacentral:rRNA from 1 species